AUACGUAGGUGGCGAGCGUUGUCCGGAAUUACUGGGCGUAAAGGGUGCGUAGGCGGAAUCUUAAGUCAGAUGUGAAAUCCCCGGGCUUAACCUGGGGACUGCAUUUGAAACUGGGGUUCUAGAGUGCAGGAGAGGAAAGCGGAAUUCCUGGUGUAGCGGUGAAAUGCGUAGAUAUUAGGAAGAACACCAGUGGCGAAGGCGGCUUUCUGGACUGUAACUGACGCUGAGGCACGAAAGCGUGGGGAGCAAACAGGAUUAGAUACCCUGGUAGUCCACGCUGUAAACGAUGAGUGCUAGGUGUGGGGGGUUUCGACACCCUCUGUGCCGCAGUAAACGCAAUAAGCACUCCGCCUGGGGAGUACGGUCGCAAGACUAAA
rnacentral:rRNA from 1 species